UGUAACUGUGGACAACAACACUAUGUACACCAUCAGUUGUACAGGUCAGGGAUACCCAGAACCUACAGUCACACUAAUGGUCGACAAUGUGGUAGUGACUGGCACUUAUACCAACAAUUGUGCUGCUGGCGUUUGUAUAAAGACACGAACAGCACCACUAGAUGGUAGUACCUACACACCUGGCCAGUCCAUCAAUAUCACCUGUACUGUGGAUAUCAACCAACCACCAUUCACUUGUACUGCUGCUCAGAAUCCAACUGUACAGGCACAGUGUAAUGCUUCUGCCAAGUCCAGGUCACAAACAAGAAUGUUAACUGUAGUUGCACAAUGUCCAUAUCUUGAUGAUCUCGGCUUCAAUUACCAACCUAUUACCGGUUCCAGCAGGACGUUUGGCACCAACAUAUCCAUACAAUGCCGAACAGGUUACCUGUCCACCAACGCUCUCAGUACCACCAAAACUACAUGCCAGAGCGGUGGAGUAUGGAGUCCAAGUCCUCCAGGGUGUGAAAAUUGCAGCAUCAGGUGUGCCGGUGACAAUAUGGUUGUAGCCUGUAAUCACAUGAUGGGAACACUCGCCGUAAACUGUGUUUGUCCGAC